UACGUAGGCUUUUGUGCAAGUUUUCGGUGAAAAUCAUAGGCUCAACUUAUGAACUGCCGGAAAAACUGCAUAGAUUGAAUCCGGAAGGGGAAAGCGGAAUUCCUGGUGUAGCGGUGAAAUGCGUAGAUAUCAGGAGGAACACCAGUGGCGAAGGCGGCUUUCUGGUCCGGAAUUGACGCUGAGGUACUAAAGCGUGGGUAGCAAACA
rnacentral:rRNA from 1 species